rnacentral:rRNA from 1 species
CCUACGGGUGGCUGCAGUGGGGAAUAUUGGACAAUGGGCGAAAGCCUGAUCCAGCCAUGCCGCGUGUGUGAAGAAGGCCUUCGGGUUGUAAAGCACUUUCAGUGGGGAAGAAAGCCUUGGGGCUAAUACCCUCGGGGAAGGACAUCACCCACAGAAGAAGCACCGGCUAACUCCGUGCCAGCAGCCGCGGUAAUACGGAGGGUGCGAGCGUUAAUCGGAAUUACUGGGCGUAAAGCGCGCGUAGGCGGUGUGGUAAGCCGGUUGUGAAAGCCCCGGGCUCAACCUGGGAACGGCAUCCGGAACUGUCAGGCUAGAGUGCAGGAGAGGAAGGUAGAAUUCCCGGUGUAGCGGUGAAAUGCGUAGAGAUCGGGAGGAAUACCAGUGGCGAAGGCGGCCUUCUGGACUGACACUGACGCUGAGGUGCGAAAGCGUGGGUAGCAAACAGGAUUAGAUACCCUGGUAGUC